rnacentral:rRNA from 1 species
GCUACGGGAGGCAGCAGUGGGGAAUAUUGGACAAUGGGGGGAACCCUGAUCCAGCGACGCCGCGUGAGUGAAGAAGUAUUUCGGUAUGUAAAGCUCUAUCAGCAGGGAAGAAAGAAAUGAAGGUACCUGACUAAGAAGCCCCGGCUAACUACGUGCCAGCAGCCGAGGGAAUACGUAGGGCGCAAGCGUUAUCCGGAUUUACUGGGUGGAAAGGGGGCGUAGACGGCGAUGCCAGGCUGAAGUGAAAUGCGGGGGCCCAAACCCCGGACUGCUGUGGAAACUGGAUGGCUGGAGUGCAGGAGAGGUAAGUGGAAGUCCUAGUGUAGCGGUGAAAUGCGUAGAUAUUAGGAGGAACACCAGUGGCGAAGGCGGCUUACUGGACUGUAACUGACGUUGAGGCUCGAAAGCGUGGGGAGCAAACAGGAUUAGAUACCCCAGUAGUC